GACGGAGGAUGCAAGUGUUAUCCGGAAUCACUGGGCGUAAAGCGUCUGUAGGUGGUCAAAUAAGUCAACUGUUAAAUCUUGAGGCUCAACCUCAAAAUCGCAGUCGAAACUAUUAGACUAGAGUAUAGUAGGGGUAAAGGGAAUUUCCAGUGGAGCGGUGAAAUGCGUAGAUAUUGGAAGGAACACCGAUGGCGAAGGCACUUUACUGGGCUAUUUCUAACAAUCAGAGACGAAAGAUAGGGUAGCAAAUGGG
rnacentral:rRNA from 1 species